GGGCCAGUGGCGCAAUGGAUAACGCGUCUGACUACGAAUCAGAAGAUUGUAGGUUCGAAUCCUACCUGGCUCG